rnacentral:rRNA from 1 species
UACGGAGGGUGCGAGCGUUAUUCGGAAUCACUGGGUUUAAAGGGUGCGUAGGCGGCUCGAUAAGUCAGUUGUGAAAGCCCCUUGCUUAACGAGGGAGGUGCGAUUGAUACUGUCGAGCUUGAAUCGGGAUGAGGCAGGCGGAAUGUGGCAUGUAGCGGUGAAAUGCAUAGAUAUGCCAUAGAACACCGAUUGCGAAGGCAGCCUGCUGGGCCUGUAUUGACGCUGAGGCACGAAAGCGUGGGGAGCUAACAGG